rfam:Bacillus weihaiensis strain Alg07 chromosome, complete genome.
UAAAACAAGUAGAAGCACCCGCUUCUCACCUGAUUGACACAUCCGUUUUGUAGUUAGCAGGUUACGAUGAAUUUUUUAUAUAUAAUCGUAGUGUGGGUGUUUGUGCAUCCACACUUUUUUAUUUUC